rnacentral:rRNA from 1 species
AGUGAACGCCGGCGGUAGGCCUAACACAUGCAAGUCGAACGGCAGCACAGUAAGAGCUUGCUCUUACGGGUGGCGAGUGGCGGACGGGUGAGGAAUACAUCGGAAUCUACUUUUUCGUGGGGGAUAACGUAGGGAAACUUACGCUAAUACCGCAUACGACCUACGGGUGAAAGCAGGGGAUCUUCGGACCUUGCGCGAUUGAAUGAGCCGAUGUCGGAUUAGCUAGUUGGCGGGGUAAAGGCCCACCAAGGCGACGAUCCGUAGCUGGUCUGAGAGGAUGAUCAGCCACACUGGAACUGAGACACGGUCCAGACUCCUACGGGAGGCAGCAGUGGGGAAUAUUGGACAAUGGGCGCAAGCCUGAUCCAGCCAUACCGCGUGGGUGAAGAAGGCCUUCGGGUUGUAAAGCCCUUUUGUUGGGAAAGAAAAGCAGCAGGUUAAUACCCCGCUGUUCUGACGGUACCCAAAUAAUAAGCACCGGCUAACUUCGUG